AGAGCGCUUCGUUCAGCCAGAGAUCUAGAACGAGCCGCUGUCCCCUAGCAAAAGAGGCCCAGUGCUGAGCCCUGGGCAAGUGUUUGCAGACAACGCUACCCCUCCUCCCUUAUUAGUUUCCCUUACCAACAGAAACGGUUUCCUUUUGCCACCCAAACUAGGUCGCAUCCUAAAGUUUCUCACAAGCUUAAAAAAGAAAAAUGAAAAAUUGACAACUCUUACACAGAAGAGGCCACAAAAGCUGCAGCAGCGCCAGGGGUGAAGAAGCAGCGACAGACCCAGGUCUGCACGACACUUGGAAGAUAGAUCACUUCCCAUCAUGCAAGGGAGAAAAUGAAGCUCUCCACUGGUCUUUAUCAGAGAAGCUAAAAAUUCCCCCUCUCUUUUCUGCAAGUUUCCCAAACCCCAUGACUCUGAUUUCCAGGCCAGAGAGUUUCAACAGUCCCUACCGGCUGUCAGAAGAGCCAGGAACAGAAGCAUCAAUAAGCACACUUACUGGGCCAAGGAUUCUUUUAAUCACUGACUCUGUGGGAGGAUGGCAGCCUGAAGAGGGCCACACGGUGAGGAACUGAGGCCAACAGCCCUGUGAGUGAGCUUUCUUGGGAGGAUCCUUCAGCCCCAGUCAAGCCUUCAGAUGACUGCAGCGCUGGCUGACAUCUUGACAGCAAUCUCACGAUCAUCUCUGAGCCAGAAUUACCCAGCUAAGCCACUCCUUGAC